rnacentral:rRNA from 1 species
GACGAACGCUGGCGGCGUGCUUAACACAUGCAAGUCGAACGGAAAGGCCCUGCUUUUGUGGGGUGCUCGAGUGGCGAACGGGUGAGUAACACGCGAGUAACCUGCCCUUGACUUUGGGAUAACUCCAGGAAACUGGGGCUAAUACCGGAUAGGAGCUCCUGCUGCAUGGUGGGGGUUGGAAAGUUUCGGCGGUUGGGGAUGGACUCGCGGCUUAUCAGCUUGUUGGUGGGGUAGUGGCUUACCAAGGCUUUGACGGGUAGCCGGCCUGAGAGGGUGACCGGCCACAUUGGGACUGAGGUACGGCCCAGACUCCUACGGGAGGCAGCAGUGGGGAAUAUUGCACAAUGGGCGGAAGCCUGAUGCAGCAACGCCGCGUGCGGGAUGACGGCCUUCGGGUUGUAAACCGCUUUCGCCUGUGACGAAGCGUGAGUGACGGUAAUGGGUAAAGAAGCACCGGCUAACUACGUGCCAGCAGCCGCGGUGAUACGUAGGGUGCGAGCGUUGUCCGGAUUUAUUGGGCGUAAAGGGCUCGUAGGUGGUUGAUCGCGUCGGAAGUGUAAUCUUGGGGCUUAACCCUGAGCGUGCUUUCGAUACGGGUUGACUUGAGGAAGGUAGGGGAGAAUGGAAUUCCUGGUGGAGCGGUGGAAUGCGCAGAUAUCAGGAGGAACACCAGUGGCGAAGGCGGUUCUCUGGGCCUUUCCUGACGCUGAGGAGCGAAAGCGUGGGGAGCGAA